rnacentral:rRNA from 1 species
UACGAGGGGAGCAAGCGUUGUUCGGAUUUACUGGGCGUAAAGGGCGCGUAGGCGGUCGUGACAAGUCACUUGUGAAAUCUCCGGGCUUAACUCGGAACGGUCAAGUGAUACUGUCGGACUAGAGUACAGAAGGGGCAACUGGAAUUCUCGGUGUAGCGGUGAAAUGCGUAGAUAUCGAGAGGAACACCUGCGGCGAAGGCGGGUUGCUGGGCUGACACUGACGCUGAUGCGCGAAAGCCAGGGGAGCGAAGCGGG